rnacentral:rRNA from 1 species
CGCAUCUGUGCAUGCAGCAUAUCAAUAAGCGGAGGAAAAGAAACUAACAAGGAUUCCCUCAGUAACGGCGAGUGAAGCGGGAAGAGCUCAAAUUUGAAAUCUUGAAAGGUCACCUUUCACGAAUUGUAGUUUAAAGAAGUGUUUUCUGUUACGAUCGUAAUAUAAGUUCCUUGGAAUAGGACAUCACAGAGGGUGAGAAUCCCGUCUAUGAUUGCGAUUUGUAGCUUUGUGAUACACUUUCAAAGAGUCGGGUUGUUUGGGAAUGCAGCCCAAAACGGGAGGUAAAUUUCUUCUAAGGCUAAAUAUUGGCGAGAGACCGAUAGCGAACAAGUACCGUGAGGGAAAGAUGAAAAGAACUUUGAAAAGAGAGUUAAAUAGUACGUGAAAUUGUCAAAAGGGAAGCGUUUAACACCAGUGUUGUUUUCUGAAAAUCAACCUCUGUUAGCUUUAUGCAUGUUUGUUUAGACCUAAUCAGCUAUCUUGCAUGUUCUAUUGUUUGCAGUGGUGCACUUUUCAGUUUACAGGUCAACAUCAGUUUUUUUUACCGUAAAAAAGUUAAAGAAAGGUAGCUCAUGGCUCCGGUCGUGAGUGUUAUAGUCUUUUUCCUAUGCGGUAGGAGAGACUGAGGUCUGCAGUGUAGGCUAUUUGGCUAGAUACUCAGGUGCUAUGUGAUACCAUUUCAUAAACAACUUGUUGAUUAUGUUUUGUCUAUUGCAUACUCGCUUGUACUAUCAUACCUACGCUUAGGAUGUUGACGAUCAGCUGAGCGCG